UCAUUCAAUGUUGGAUUUAUCACCACGGACGUGUUGUACAAAGUCUCAGAGAAGACACGGAAGUUCCAGGCCGCGCUACAAAUCUCCUGAAAGGGCCACGCAUCGCACGGAAGCCCUGCCUGGAACGGAGCAAGUAUCAGCUUCCCGUCCAAACAAACCCGGACGUGGACAGGGACAAGCGGCGUCCGUCCUCUUCUUCAUUGACGAUAAAUCAGCUUCACGUUUCCCUGACAGUUGCCAAGUCGACCGCCUCGGGCCCCGCGUCCCGUCACUCCGCGGCCGGUAUGCUGUUGCCCUGGUUCUCGUGCCC